rnacentral:lncRNA from 1 species
UCAGUGCCCGCGACGGAGGCGACUUCCGACGGAAAAAGUAGCGGGAGGCCGGAAAUUAUUGUCUUUGGCCUCUGGUUCUGCGAGCCGAUUGUGUUUUCGUACCGUCGAAAAAAAAAAAAAGAAAAGAAAGAAAACAACUACCUUUCUGAAUGUAUUGUAUCCAAGGCCUUUGCAAUGUUGGGAGCAGAGUGAGCAGGUGUGGGGAGUCCUGAAAGACUGGUUACAUUACGGAGGUCAUCUGGCAUCCAGAGAAAGCUACUGCUUCAUCAAGCAGUUCUCCACCCUGCUGACCUCCAGUCACAAAUGCUGGAAUCUGCUUUAUAAGGCAAUAGGAAAAAGACAGAAGCCAAAAUACAAGGAUUCUACUCAAGCCUUCUGGAAAGGACUGUGUUGCCUUUGAUGCAUGGAGCAAAGAAUUCUUAGAUUUUCCUGCCAGCCCCUGAAACCGGACCUGUGAUGUCAAGUUGGGUUUUGUUGUUGUUUGUUUUAACCUGCCAUGAGAUGGGUUGACAGGAUCAAUCAUUUUACACCAUGAUCCCUUGUCCCUGGGAGGACUGUCUGAGACAUUAGAGAAAUGGGAUACAGACUUCCUCACUGGGCUGGGGGAGCUGGCUCAGGUGCAGAGUACUUGCCACGAUAUGAAGAUCCACUUUUAAAAUAAAUCAAACAUAGUCAAGCAUAAU